UAGCUAACGCGUGAANUCGACCGCCUGGGGAGUACGNUCGCAAGAUUAAAACUCAAAGGAAUUGACGGGGACCCGCACAAGCGGUGGAUGAUGUGGAUUAAUUCGAUGCAACGCGAAGAACCUUACCUGGUCUUGACAUGUACGGAAGAACUCAGAGACGAGUUUGUGCCUUCGGGAACCGUAACACAGGUGCUGCAUGGCUGUCGUCAGCUCGUGUCGUGAGAUGUUGGGUUAAGUCCCGCAACGAGCGCAACCCUUGUCAUUAGUUGCCAUCAUUUAGUUGGGCACUCUAAUGAGACUGCCGGUGACAAACCGGAGGAAGGUGGGGAUGACGUCAAGUCCUCAUGGCCCUUAUGACCAGGGCUUCACGUGUCAUACAAUGGUCGGUACAGAGGGUAGCCAAGCCGCGAGGUGGAGCCAAUCCCAGAAAACCGAUCGUAGUCCGGAUUGCACUCUGCAACUCGAGUGCAUGAAGUCGGAAUCGCUAGUAAUCGCAGGUCAGCAUACUGCGGUGAAUACGUUCCCGGGUCUUGUACACACCGCCCGUCACACCAU
rnacentral:rRNA from 1 species